GAUCCUGGCUCAGGACGAACGCUGGCGGCGUGCCUAAUACAUGCAAGUCGAACGAACUCUGGUAUUGAUUGGKGCUUGCAUCAUGAUUUACAUUUGAGUGAGUGGCGAACUGGUGAGUAACACGUGGGAAACCYGCCCAGAAGCGGGGGAUAACACCUGGAAACAGAUGCUAAUACCGCAUAACAACUUGGACCGCAUGGUCCGAGYUUGAAAGAUGGCUUCGGCUAUCACUUUUGGAUGGUCCCGCGGCGUAUUAGCUAGAUGGUGGGGUAACGGCUCACCAUGGCAAUGAUACGUAGCCGACCUGAGAGGGUAAUCGGCCACAUUGGGACUGAGACACGGCCCAAACUCCUACSGGAGGCAGCAGUAGGGAAUCUUCCACAAUGGACGAAAGUCUGAUGGAGCAACGCCGCGUGAGUGAAGAAGGGUUUCGGCUCGUAAAACUCUGUUGUUAAAGAAGAACAUAUCUGAGAGUAACUGUUCAGGUA
rnacentral:rRNA from 2 species